rnacentral:rRNA from 1 species
UACGGAGGGGGCUAGCGUUGUUCGGAAUUACUGGGCGUAAAGCGCACGUAGGCGGCUAUUCAAGUCAGAGGUGAAAGCCCGGGGCUCAACCCCGGAACUGCCUUUGAAACUAGAUGGCUAGAAUCUUGGAGAGGCGAGUGGAAUUCCGAGUGUAGAGGUGAAAUUCGUAGAUAUUCGGAAGAACACCAGUGGCGAAGGCGACUCGCUGGACAAGUAUUGACGCUGAGGUGCGAAAGCGUGGGGAGCAAACAGG